UAUCGACGUAGUUUGAUCCUGGCUACAGAAUCAACGCUGGCGGCGUGCCUCAGACAUGCAAGUCGAACGAUUAAAGCUCUCUUCGGAGAGUGUAUAGAGUGGCGCACGGGUGAGUAACACGUAAGUAAUCUACCCUCGAGUGGGGAAUAACAACCGGAAACGGUUGCUAAUACCGCAUAAUGCAGCGACACCGCAAGGUGACAGUUGUUAAAGAUUUAUCGCUUGAGGAGGAGCUUGCGGCAGAUUAGCUAGUUGGUAGGGUAACGGCUUACCAAGGCUACGAUCUGUAACCGGUCUAAGAGGACGGUCGGUCACACUGACACUGAAUAACGGGUCAGACUCCUACGGGAGGCAGCAGUCGGGAAUUUUGGGCAAUGGGCGAAAGCCUGACCCAGCAACGCCGCGUGAAGGAUGAAGUAUUUCGGUAUGUAAACUUCGAAAGAAUAGGAAGAAUUAAUGACGGUACUAUUUAUAAGGUCCGGCUAACUACGUG
rnacentral:rRNA from 1 species